rnacentral:rRNA from 1 species
UACCAGCACCCCGAGUGGUCGGGACGUUUUAGUUAGGCCUAAAGCAUCCGUAGCCGGUUCUACAAGUCUUCCGUUAAAUCCACCUGCUUAACAGAUGGGCUGCGGAAGAUACUAUGGAGCUAGGAGGCGGGAGAGGCAAGCGGUACUCGAUGGGUAGGGGUAAAAUCCGUUGAUCCAUUGAAGACCACCAGUGGCGAAGGCGGCUUGCCAGAACGCGCUCGACGGUGAGGGAUGAAAGCUGGGGGGGGCAAACCGGAGUUAG